CCCCUUGAUUAAGCAGGCAUGUUGACAGUGUGGUCCUUGCUUAGCUCCCAACUCCCUCUUAUUAUAUAUGAGAAAAUACAUGUGAUGGACUAUUGAAAUUCACAAUCCACUGCAGUAAUUUUGUAUUGGUCUGGGCUGAAGAUAUCAUGUUGUGUAGUGGUCGCCAACGAUAAGUGAUUCAUUCAAUCACUUUUUUUCUUAUUUAUUAGAUUCUUUUCAGAAUCACUUUUUUUGGAAUCACAUAUUUUAAUAACUUUGUCUUCCAGUG
rnacentral:lncRNA from 1 species